rnacentral:lncRNA from 1 species
UUCCAUGACUGAUUAGGAAGUAUGAAGACUCACCAGUUCUGAGUCAAGUGGGGUGGUUGGUUGAUUGACUCAGGAUCUGAUGGGCAUUGUUAGAACAUGAGCUGGACUUGGUAUCAUAAGUUGAUAAGGCAAAAAGGAUGUGGGACAAUGCAUGAGCCGGUAAGGGCCAGAAGCAUGUCCUUAGCUGUUUGAAGACUUCUCAAGGGUUACUUAUGUCUGUGGGGAUGGUUGGCUGAAUGACUAAGUACCU